rnacentral:rRNA from 1 species
GAUGAACGCUGGCGGCGUGCCUAAUACAUGCAAGUCGAGCGAACAGAUGAGGAGCUUGCUCCUCUGACGUUAGCGGCGGACGGGUGAGUAACACGUGGCUAACCUACCUAUAAGACUGGGAUAACUUCGGGAAACCGGAGCUAAUACCGGAUAAUAUAUUGAACCGCAUGGUUCAAUAGUGAAAGACGGUUUUGCUGUCACUUAUAGAUGGAUCCGCGCCGCAUUAGCUAGUUGGUAAGGUAACGGCUUACCAAGGCAACGAUGCGUAGCCGACCUGAGAGGAUGAUCAGUCACACUGGAACUGAGACACGGUCCAGACUCAUACGGGAGGCAGCAGUGGGGAAUAUUGGACAAUGGGCGAAAGCCUGAUCCAGCCAUGCCGCGUGUGUGAAGAAGGUCUUCGGAUUGUAAAGCACUUUAAGUUGGGAGGAAGAGCAGUAAGUGAAUACCUUGCUGUUUUGACGUUACCAACAGAAUAAGCACCGGCUAACUUCGUG